AUGCACUUACGUGGGAAAAUUAGUUAUUAUCCUUCUGUAUUGAGACCUUAGUUUGUUGCAGGUGGGACAUGAAGGAGUCUACACGUACUCUCUCACGGGAUCAUCGGUUGAAAAAUUUAUCAUGCCUAUAGCAUGACUCGUCAUUUCAUAGGAGAUCAUAAGCCUGGAGAAACCAAGAGGUGUUUUUUUGUUUUUGUUUUUGUUUUUGUUUUAAAUAAAGGAAUUGUGAGCUCUCACUGAAUGGGACACAUCCCAUGUGCAGUCCGUGAGUGUGUUACAGAUCACUGUGAAAUCACCAACUCAGCUUCGCAUACAAAAAUGAUUUGCCAGAACUACUGGAUGGGAAGGAUUUCCAAACGGAGGAACCGUGUCCUUAAGAUUCUUGAUGUGCAUCUGUGACUUUGAAGUGGAGGACCUACCAUCACAAAGACUAUCUGUCCGACCCCUUGGAUGGACAAGAUAUCCCUCUUGGUCCAUGAGAUCAUACACUUGGUGAAAAAAGGUAUGGAUUUGGAACUAUUAGUCCAGUUUUGUAGCCUACCCUAAGUAUCUAUUAGUAAAACAUGGGCGUUCAGGUACCCGAGCAUGUGUGCUAUGCUUUAUUUUCUCCUAAUGUGAUUCUCAUCUCAGUUAUCCUUAUUGUAUAGAAGUGGCUUUUAUUUCAAUGUCAUUGGCCUAUUCAAGACUCUUUGAAAACUGUGAAGUUACUCUAUUUAAAGUCCUUAUAGACGAGAGAGCGUAGGUUAUCCGACAGUAGAACCUUGAGAAGGGAAGAGAAGUGAUGGUCCCCUUUGGGCCAUAAAGAUGUUAAAAGAAAGAGAAUGUAAAUGAUAUCCCCAGGGUAAGAGAGUUCAUUUGGUAAGAAUGACACUAUGAAAACUCAAGGCUCCUAAAUUACAAAUCACUUGGCUAAGCAGCCAUGAUACUGCAAACCAAACCAAAUCAAGUCAAAGGUCUGAAAAUACGUAUUUGUGGAAUACUGCCAAGACAAUAGAUGGAGGUAGGCUAAGGGCUUGGAAUCCUUGACAAAAAAUAUCAGAUGAAUUUCUUUGGGAGGGUUGGAAAAUAGCUUUGUUUUCAAUAUUUAGAAGAAAUACUCCAUAAAACAAGAUCUCGAAAAAAGAAAACUUGUAAUCCUUGGGAACUGGUUAAUCUUUUCACCUUGUAGUUUUAGUUUUCCACCGGUGCCAAAAUCACACUCUUAAAUUCUAGGUUCAAUAUCUUGAAACUUCAGUAGCCACAGAAUGUUCUACUGGAAUACAUCCAAUAACAGGUAAUACAUUUUAAAACCCAAACAGAUCCCAUUCUUAGAAGGUACCUUGCCUGGAAAAAAUGAAUGAAUCGUAAUGUAGAGGCAAGCCUUGAGCGCAUUGCUGAGAUAGCGUUGUGGUCAAACCACAUUGCUCAGGAAGGAAUUCCUCUUGUUCUGGAUACAAUUGGAAUGAGUUCAAAAAAACUGGAAAAACCGGAGAAGAAGAUGAGCCAAGUGAUUUACUGAUUGCUACCUUAGAGAUAUGAGGAGGUAGCAACUACCAGCAGUUAGUGAGCCAACUACGUGGAGUGGACCUCUGGUGGUCAUGAUGAACUCUAUUGAAGGGACACAGAGCGUGUGGAGUACAUGAGGUGAUAAGCACGCUGAUAUCACUGCCCUCCAACCCAUCCAGUGCUUCCUGUUAGUCAAAUUCAACCAGAAGGAAGAGGCAAGGGAGCCCUUCGCAGUGUCCACAUGGGUGGGGUGAACCAUGGACGGGGGGAAGGAUGUAGAAAUAUUCAACACAUCUACUCUUGUCUACAAUACUUUCCCAUUAGCUAGUCAAUUUCACAGUCCUGAAUGUGAUGAGAAAACUGAUGAUCAGAAAAAGGAGAAUUUCGAAAUUUCCUACACUUAGGAUGUGGGCAAAUCAGCACUCAAAUACAAGUGUUGGCGUCCAAGGCAUAACCAUUAAGAAGAGGCAACCUCCUGGCAGACGAAUGAGUAAUUCAGAAUUAACUAUCAUAUUUCAGCAAUAAGUCCGUCCGUCCUUCCUUCCUUCCCCUUCUUUUUUUCCUUUUUAGGGCUGCAGGUGCAUCAUAAGAAAGUUCCCAGGCUAGAGGUUGAAUCAGAGCUAUAGCUGCCAGCCUACUCCGCAGCCACAGCAAUGCCAGAUCUGAGCUGCGUCUGCAACCUACACCACAGCUCACAGCAAUGCCAGAUCCUUGACCCACGGAGCGAGGCCAGAGAUGGAACCCACAUCCUCAUGGCUGCCAUCGGAUUCACUUCUCCUGAGCCACAAAGGGAAAUCCCUCAAGAGUAAGUCUUAUUCCAGGACAUUGCUGCCCCCACUGCCAACUUUUCCUUCAUGUCCAAGUCAGGAGUGACAGGCGAGGAAACAUAUCGAUGGGUUGAGUCUUAACACCUGAUGCCAAAUAGACACGGUCUUGCUGUUGGUAGAUUAAGUAGCUUAGGCCAGGCAUGAGCUGUGGUCAGUGAUGGAGCCUCUCAUUUGUAGUAUGUUCUUCUCAGCUUUGGCCAGUCUAUGAAACUAUGCAUUGGUCCUUCUUUUCUGCUUAACACUCCAGCCCAGAAUUCCAGCUACCUAGACUAAUACCGGGUGUGUAUUAAAUGCCUGAGGCAUGCUUAAAAGGGUGAAUGAGCAAUCACAUAAACAAACUUUAUCUGAUCCUCGGCUUUCUUGUGCAGACCCUAGCUGACUCUAAUGCCACUCUCACCACUCCCACCACUCUUGCCAUCAUCUUCACCAUCUUAAUGAUCCUGGAAUAUAUGCAAGAUGCCAGACACUGGGCUCAGCCCUUUACAGUAUGAUUUCAACAUAAUGAUUUCAACAGCUUUAUAAAGGUUGUUCCUUUUCUUUUUAUAGACCAAGAAACGGAGGCUUAGCAACAAUAAAUGAAUUGUGCAAGAUCCUCCACCCAGGACAUGGUAAAGGUGGAAUUCGAAGCCAGCUAGACUGUCUCUAGAGCAUGUACAUUUAACAAAGGUUUUAUAUUCUUUCCAUCCCACCUGUGCAUCGCUGGAUUCCAGGCAUGAAGAAACAAUGACUUGAGCCUCUAUUACUAUUUACUACAGUUAAGAUUGUCGCUCACACUGUGGCCUUCCUCUGCUUAUUUUUCCCUUCUAGAUAGUCAUUUCCUCCUCCUCUCUAUGCUCUUUGAUUAUCAAAGAUUGCUGGAAUCAUCUUGGCUUCUAAAGCCUCUUUUGAGCAUAUCCCUAAAUAUUCUGGAAGCAGCCCAAGGAAUGACUCUCUAGAGCCCUAUUAUUCUCCCAAGAUUCUAAGCCACUUGGGUUCAUUGUCAUUUUCUAUGGUCCUUGGAUCCCAGCAUCCUACACAUUCAUAAUGGCCCCCAAAUGUUUCAAGUUUGGGGGAACACUUUGCUGCUUAGACUGUGUUUUAUUUUCUUUUACGGAAUAAUUUAAGGAAUUAGAGAAUCUGAGAGCUACAGUGCCUACAUUACUUUUUUUUUUUUUUUUUUUUUUUUUUUUUUUUUGGCCUGUUCCUUGUCAAGAAAUUGGAAGAAAACACUGGUAGACUACUCUCUUUGAAAGUGUCUCAGUUACCAAAGCCAGACACCUUUGCAAAUGCCCCCAGUUGACACACCUGUACUUGGGUUUAGUAAUCUGAAAUGACAUGUGCUCUUAACUUUUGGUGCCAAAUCUUUCCCCAGGAGAGAGAGAAAGAAUCAUUGGUCUCCAUGGCAUCAUAUCUUUUAUUUUUUAAGGCUUUUUAUAGAUUCAAACCCCAUUUCCAACCCUCAGGAUGAUUCAGUCUGUGUCUAUACUACGCCAACACAAAUGGUUCAAAAGGGAAAAAUUCAGGGUAACGAUGGUAGCGUUUAGUUGACAAACUUAUGAAUAACGUGAAAAAUUCCAUCCAUUUGGGAAGUCUUUUAGAAUGGGCACCUUCCAGAUUCUUAGGAUUUUAACUGUUACUAUUAGGCAUUAAAAAAAAAAUACUCUAACCAUCCUAUUUAGAAAUCCUCCUAGAUAGUUCACAGAUUUAUUUUCCAGUGACACUGUAUGUUAGAUAACCUGAAAUAUAGUCUGAUGCAAAACAUCUAGAAAUAUUAGAUGAAAUAGAAGAAACACUCCAAGGGCUCAAAAAAGGAAGGGAAAGCUGGAACCAUAGAGUAAGCCACCGUUUACUGCUUGGUAAUCUAGAGGACUUGGGUUUGUUUUUUUGUUUUAUAAAUUAUAGUUGAUUGACAAUGCUGUGCCAAUCUCUGCUGUACAGCAACAUGACUCAGCCAUACAUAUGUCUACAUUCUUUUUCUUUUUUUUAAAAUUAUUUUCCCUCAUGGCUGAGGACUUGGGCUUAAUGACUGAACCGAAAGAGGAGAAGUCUUUGGUCUAUACAAGGUGGGGAGUUGGACCUGACACCACCAAAUAAAAUCAGGAUUUUUAAAGGAUUACACCUUUAAUGAGAGAGUACAAUAGAAAACGUCCACCCAGCAGCAACGAGAUAUGACACAGAAUUUUGGCUUUCUUCUUCUGGCUGUGGAUUAGAGGGGAAGGGAGGGAGAAAAUCUCUCCUCUGAGAGCUCGUAACAAUCCAGCCCUAAAGCACAUUUGGCAUACAGAGUCAUACUGCUUGAAUGGUCCUGAAAAGCACAAGUCAAAAAAAAAAAAAAAAAUCAGCAUAUGUACAUGCAUACACAUGAAAUAGUCCCAGCUUAAUGUUCCUGAUAGAAGCUAAAACAAUUUCCAAAGGGAUUUUCAUUCCAGCUCACAUAAAACUCCUCCACAUAAAUCCCCCUCAAACAUAAAUAAAUAAUAGGAAAUAAGGAGCUCCCUGGUGACUCAGCACGUUAAGGAUCCAGCAUUGUCCCUGCUGUAGCUUGGGUCACUGCACUGACUCAGAUUUGAUCCCUGGCCCUGGAACUUCUGCA
rnacentral:lncRNA from 1 species